rnacentral:lncRNA from 1 species
CCGAAACAGAGUGGCAGAAAAAACCAAACUGGUUAAACGAUCAGCCGCCCUACUCGUGGAUGCCACCCAGCUGAGUUCCGAGAGCUAUGAUUGCGGUCCGAUACCGAGUAGUGAUUGAGUGAGUAGUGGGGGAGUGGAGGUGUGCUCUUGACAUUACACUGACAGGGUGAAGUAAGAGUGGAUUACUUUCACUUUCCCCUGGGCAGCAUAAAGGGGGAAUAGUUCUAAGCAUCAGCCACUCUCUCCCCGAGGCCAGAGCCCCAG